rnacentral:rRNA from 1 species
UACGGGGGGGGCAAGCGUUGUUCGGAAUUACUGGGCGUAAAGGGCUCGUAGGCGGCCAACUAAGUCACACGUGAAAUCCCCAGGCUUAACCUGGGAACUGCGUGUGAUACUGGAUGGCUUGAAUCCGGGAGAGGGAUGCGGAAUUCCAGGUGUAGCGGCGAAAUGCGUAGAUAUCUGGAGGAACACCGGUGGCGAAGGCGGCAUCCUGGACCGGUAUUGACGCUGAUGAGCGAAAGCCAGGGGAGCAAACGGG